rnacentral:lncRNA from 1 species
CUUUUAAUUUUAUUAUAUAGAAAAAAUUUUAAUUAUAAAAUUUUAAUUUUAUACCAAAUUAAAUAAAUAUAAGUUUUAAAGUUUUACUUUCAUAAAACUAAUCUAUUCAUAGACAAUAAAAUUAGCCAAAUUGAUUUUAAGUCGUUGAUUUUUAAUAUGACUUACUCAACAAAGUUCAGCUGAUUUGAUUAAAAUUAGACUAGUUUACUAGUUCGAUAGUUGAAUCUAGAUUUAAAGUAGUUUUUUGACUUAUCCGACUCAAAAGGUUUGAACCGAACAGCUUUACAAACUGUGUCACGGUCGGACCGAUCAGACUAGGGGUGAAAAUGAGUCGAGCUUGAGCGACUUUACCUCUGCUCAAGUUUGGCUUCAAAUUAAUUUCGAGCCCAAAUUUAGGCUCAAGCUCGGUUUGAAUCGGCUUAAGUGGGUCUAACUUCGAAUUGAGCGAGCUCGAGCCCUAUACGAGCCAUUUGAAAUUCUUAACAUCAUACAAUCUAUAGUUUAAUUUUUAUAGAACAUUAUCGAAAAUUUGAUACAAAAACAUAUUUAAUAGUUCAACAUACAAAAUAAAUACAUGAAUAUGAUAUUAUAAUAUUAAGAAAAAUAGAGAGAGAGAGAGAGAGAGAGAGAAACUAGAGAAAGGUUUUAUUGGUUUAGUUUUGUGGAUCAGCAAAUAUGUCUAAUAAUCUAAACUUUAUAUACAUAUAAUUAAAAUAUAUAUAUAGCUUAGCUACUAUACUUUUAGGAGGACGGAGGCCUUCGUCCUUCUAAGUCGUUUUAGAUGAUAGGGCUCCCGAGUUUAUCAUUGGAAUCGUUAAAAUUGAUUUAGAGUAUUUAUAAUAUCUAGAAAUUAAAUUUUAUAAAUUUUAAAAUUCGUUAUUAAGUUCAUUGAAAAGUCGAAAAAUGAACGAUAAAAAAUGAAUAAUCUUGUGACAAUAAAUGUUAGACUUUUUCAAGUUAUUAUCGGAGUUAUCAAAUAUUAUCUAAAUAGUAUAAAAAAUUUUCUAUCAAAAAUUCAAACUGUUUGGAUUGUUCUACACCGUUAAACAAGCAAACGGCUUAUAUAGGCCGUAAAAAACUAUCGAUUUCGUGAUCCUUUGAUCACUGUGUAAAUAAUUUUUAAAAUUUAUAAAAGUUUAGUUUUUAGACAAUUUAAAUAUUCUAGUUCAACUUUGACGGUUCCGACAAUCGAUUCGAAAUUCCUAUUAUCUAAAACAACUUAGAAGGAUGAAAGUCUCCGUCCUUCUAAAAGAAUAGUAACUGAAUUCUAUAUAUAUAUAGAUAUAUAGAAUUAAGCUUCUAUACUUUUAAAAGUCCUUUGUCAACUAAUCUAGGUACAGUUGAAGAAAACAAUGCAUCGUUAAGGGGCCCUAAUCCUUUGUCACGUAUCAAUUUUAUCUUUAUCAAGAUUACAAUCAUAUCCCUUAGAAUUUAGAUUCUUUUAAAUUUUAAUAUUAAAAUAUAUCAAACGAAUCAUUU